rnacentral:rRNA from 1 species
CCGGCGAUUUCCGAAUGGGGAAACCCAGUGUGUUUCGACACACUAUCAUUAACUGAAUCCAUAGGUUAAUGAGGCGAACCGGGGGAACUGAAACAUCUAAGUACCCCGAGGAAAAGAAAUCAACCGAGAUUCCCCCAGUAGCGGCGAGCGAACGGGGAGGAGCCCAGAGCCUGAAUCAGUGUGUGUGUUAGUGGAAGCGUCUGGAAAGGCGCGCGAUACAGGGUGACAGCCCCGUACACAAAAAUGCACAUAUUGUGAGCUCGAUGAGUAGGGCGGGACACGUGGUAUCCUGUCUGAAUAUGGGGGGACCAUCCUCCAAGGCUAAAUACUCCUGACUGACCGAUAGUGAACCAGUACCGUGAGGGAAAGGCGAAAAGAACCCCGGCGAGGGGAGUGAAAAAGAACCUGAAACCGUGUACGUACAAGCAGUGGGAGCCUCUUAAUGGGGUGACUGCGUACCUUUUGUAUAAUGGGUCAGCGACUUAUAUUCUGUAGCAAGGUUAACCGAAUAGGGGAGCCGAAGGGAAACCGAGUCUUAACUGGGCGUUAAGUUGCAGGGUAUAGACCCGAAACCCGGUGAUCUAGCCAUGGGCAGGUUGAAGGUUGGGUAACACUAACUGGAGGACCGAACCGACUAAUGUUGAAAAAUUAGCGGAUGACUUGUGGCUGGGGGUGAAAGGCCAAUCAAACCGGGAGAUAGCUGGUUCUCCCCGAAAGCUAUUUAGGUAGCGCCUCGUGAAUUCAUCUCCGGGGGUAGAGCACUGUUUCGGCAAGGGGGUCAUCCCGACUUACCAACCCGAUGCAAACUGCGAAUACCGGAGAAUGUUAUCACGGGAGACACACGGCGGGUGCUAACGUCCGUCGUGAAGAGGGAAACAACCCAGACCGCCAGCUAAGGUCCCAAAGUCAUGGUUAAGUGGGAAACGAUGUGGGAAGGCCCAGACAGCCAGGAUGUUGGCUUAGAAGCAGCCAUCAUUUAAAGAAAGCGUAAUAGCUCACUGGUCGAGUCGGCCUGCGCGGAAGAUGUAACGGGGCUAAACCAUGCACCGAAGCUGCGGCAGCGACACUAUGUGUUGUUGGGUAGGGGAGCGUUCUGUAAGCCUGUGAAGGUGG